rnacentral:lncRNA from 1 species
GGAUGGAUGGAUCUCUAGGACUGAUUGAAGUUGUUGAUGUGUCCACUAUGCACCGCCGAGAACUGGAACACUGCUAUCGAAAGGAUGUAUCUGUCACCUGCAUUGCUUGGUUCAGUGAAGACAGACCAUUUGCAGUAGGAUAUUUUGAUGGAAAAUUGUUAAUGGGAACAAAAGAACCACUUGAGAAAGGAGGCAUUGUUCUUAUUGAUGCGCAUAAGGAAACUCUUGUUAGUAUGAAAUGGGACCCAACAGGCCAUAUUCUUAUGACAUGUGCCAAA